GCCAGACCUGACUGCUAUCGGAUUGAUACUAAGCCAUGCGAGUCAUUGUAGCAAUACAAGGCAUACGGCUCAGUAACGCGUAGUCAACCUAACCUAUGGACGGGAAUAACCUCGGGAAACUGAGAAUAAUGCCCGAUAGAACAUUAUACCUGGAAUGGUUUAUGUUCCAAAUGAUUUAUCGCCGUAGGAUGGGACUGCGGCCUAUCAGUUUGUUGGUGAGGUAAUGGCCCACCAAGACUAUUACAGGUACGGGCUCUGAGAGGAGUAGCCCGGAGAUGGGUACUGAGACACGGACCCAGGCCCUAUGGGGCGCAGCAGGCGAGAAAACUUUGCAAUGUGCGAAAGCACGACAAGGUUAAUCCGAGUGAUUUCUGCUAAAGAAAUCUUUUGUUAGUCCUAGAAACACUAACGAAUAAGGGGUGGGCAAGUUCUGGUGUCAGCCGCCGCGGUAAAACCAGCACCUCAAGUGGUCAGGAUGAUUAUUGGGCCUAAAGCAUCCGUAGCCGGCUCUGUAAGUUUUCGGUUAAAUCUGUACGCUCAACGUACAGGCUGCCGGGAAUACUGCAUAGCUAGGGAGUGGGAGAAGUAGACGGUACUCGGUAGGAAGUGGUAAAAUGCUUUGAUCUAUCGAUGACCACCUGUGGCGAAGGCGGUCUACUAGAACACGUCCGACGGUGAGGGAUGAAAGCUGGGGGAGCAAACCGGAUUAGAUACCCGGGUAGUCCCAGCUGUAAACUAUGCAAACUCAGUGAUGCAUUGGCUUGUGGCCAAUGCAGUGCUGCAGGGAAGCCGUUAAGUUUGCCGCCUGGGAAGUACGUACGCAAGUAUGAAACUUAAAGGAAUUGGCGGGGGAGCACCACAAGGGGUGAAGCCUGCGGUUCAAUUGGAUUCAACGCCGGG
rnacentral:rRNA from 1 species